GAGGCCUUAGCUUAAAAAUUAAAGCUUCUGUUUUGCGAAUAGACGAUGUGGGUUGAAUUCCCGUAGGUCUUA
rnacentral:tRNA from 1 species